AGUAAUAUUCCACUGUGACAUAUGUCACCCCAGUGAUUAUUAGCAUUGAUUUGACUGAUCUGGCUGGCUAGAUUGAUGUCUCCUUCCUCCUGAAACACCACAUGUGCCCCUCCCAAAGCUGAAUGCUGGCUCAGAGAGGACAACCUUCCCUUAUAGAGGAGGACCAGUCUUCAGCUAAGAGUAUACAAGAAGCUGUGCUCCCCUACUAGAACCUCUAAAUAAGCUCUCAAGAUUAUUUUAAGUAAUUUUUUAUUCUUUGAGUACUUCCUGC
rnacentral:snRNA from 1 species